UGAUCCCUAUAAUUUUUAUCCCCGCCUUGAAAGUGGGGUGAGGGCUAAUAGUAGUCCGGGGGUUU
rnacentral:tRNA from 1 species